rnacentral:lncRNA from 1 species
UUCCAAGGGUCAAUCCCUCCCUCUUUCUCCAACCUCAUACAUCUCACUUCCCUGGACCUUUCAGAUAACAACCUCAACGGUUCAAUCCCUCCCUCUUUCUUUAACCUCACACAUCUUACUUCCUUGGAUCUCUCAGAUAACAACCUCAACCUCAACGGUUCAAUCCCUCCCUCUUUCUCCAACCUCAUACAUCUCACUUCCCUGGACCUUUCAGGUAACAAUCUCGGUUCAAUCCCUCCCUCUUUCUUUAACCUCACACAUCUCACUUCCCUGGAUCUCUCAUUUAACAACCUCAACGGUUCAAUCCCUCCCUCUUUCUCCAACCUCAUACAUCUCACUUCCCUGGACCUCUCAGGUAACCACCUCAACGGUUCAAUCCCUCCCUCUUUCUCCAACCUCAUACAUCUUACUUCCUUGGAUCUCUCAUAUAACAACCUCAACGGUUCAAUCCCAUCCUCACUCUUGACCCUUCCACGGCUAAACUUUCUGUAU